rnacentral:lncRNA from 1 species
AUGCCUGGACCAGAAGCCAGCACCACCCUCAGGGCUUCACUGGAGGAGCUGUCACUGGGGCCAGUGCGGUUUCCCCUACUGCUACAGGACCAGGAGAGGAUUCGUCCAACAGUGAAUCAGAGCAGGAGGGGCCCCAGAAGCUGGUCCAUAAAGUGUCCACCUCUGGACAGAUGGGGACCAAGUAGCAUUGAUCUUCCCAGACUGAUAACUGCUGAAAUCCAGGUCACGGCUCACCUCACCAAACUCAAAGCAAGGAGUGAGGAGAGGGAGACUCUAGACAGCCACUGGACUACAACCAUCGGCUCUGAAAUAAUGAGAAACUAUUGUAAGCAGACAUAUGCCUUGAUGUCUCUGAGAAGUUGCAAAAGAGACAGCUGUCUAUGA